CCAAAGAGUGCAACAAGAAAAAGGGGAUUUAUGCUCAAGCUAAUAAGCCUGCAUCUGCUGAUGAUGAAGAUAUGGACCCCACUCAAUACCUUGAGAACAGGCUCAAGUACCUUGCAGAUCAGAAGGCUGAAGGGAUUAACCCAUACCCGCACAAGUUUUCUGUGACCAUGUCAAUUAGUCAAUACAUUAACAAAUAUGAAUCAUUGGAAUGCUAUUUUUAUAGUCAAUACAUUGACAAAUAUGCUUGGUUUGUAGUCUAAUUAUUUACAUCUUUUAGGCCGUCAGUGUGGCUGCUUUUGCAGAAGGGGCAAAAGCAGAAGAAGCUAGAAAUGCUAGAGCUAAUAUAGUUGGUUGCAAAGAACUUAUCGAGGAGAUUGCUAGUAAUAAACUGAUCUCUC